rnacentral:rRNA from 1 species
UCCUACGGGACGCAGCAGUGGGGGAUAUUGCACAAUGGGGGCAACCCUGAUGCAGCGACGCCGCGUGAGCGAUGGAGUACUUCGGUAUGUAAAGCUCUGUCAGCAGGGAAGAGAAUGACGGUACCUGACCAAGAAGCCCCGGCUAAAUACGUGCCAGCAGCCGCGGUAAUACGUAUGGGGCAAGCGUUAUCCGGAUUUACUGGGUGUAAAGGGAGCGUAGGCGGCGGUGCAAGCCAGAUGUGAAAGCCCGGGGCUCAACCCCGGGACUGCAUUUGGAACUGUGCUGCUAGAGUGUCGGAGAGGCA